rnacentral:rRNA from 1 species
GACGAACGCUGGCGGCGUGCUUAACACAUGCAAGUCGAACGGAAAGGCCCUGCUUUUGUGGGGUGCUCGAGUGGCGAACGGGUGAGUAACACGUGAGUAACCUGCCCUUGACUUUGGGAUAACUUCAGGAAACUGGGGCUAAUACCGGAUAGGAGCUCCUGCUGCAUGGUGGGGGUUGGAAAGUUUCGGCGGUUGGGGAUGGACUCGCGGCUUAUCAGCUUGUUGGUGGGGUAGUGGCUUACCAAGGCUUUGACGGGUAGCCGGCCUGAGAGGGUGACCGGCCACAUUGGGACGGAGAUACGGCCCGGACUCCUACGGGAGGAAGCAGUGGGGAAUAUUGCACAAUGGGCGGAAGCCUGAUGCAGCAACGCCGCGUGCGGGAUGACGGCCUUCGGGUUGUAAACCGCUUUCGCCUGUGACGAAGCGUGAGUGACGGUAAUGGGUAAAGAAGCACCGGCUAACUACGUG